AACCUCCGCAAUGUGAGAAAUCGCGACGGGGGGAUUCCAAGUGCCAUUCUUAACGGGAUGGCUUUUCAUUAGUGUAAAGAGCUUUUGGAAUAAGGGCUGGGCAAGACCGGUGCCAGCCGCCGCGGUAACACCGGCAGCUCUAGUGGUAGCAGUUUUUAUUGGGCCUAAAGCGUCCGUAGCCGGUUUAAUAAGUCUCUGGUGAAAUCCUGUAGCUUAACUGUGGGAAUUGCUGGAGAUACUAUUAGACUUGAGACCGGGAGAGGUUAGAGGUACUCCCAGGGUAGAGGUGAAAUUCUGUAAUCCUGGGAGGACCGCCUGUUGCGAAGGCGUCUAACUGGAACGGUUCUGACGGUGAGGGACGAAAGUUAGGGGCGCGAACCGGAUUAGAUACCCGGGUAGUCCUAACCGUAGAACGUGCGGACUUGGUGUUGGGGUGGCUUUGAGCUGCUCCAGUGCCGAAGGGAAGCUGUUAAGUCCGCCGCCUGGGAAGUACGGUCGCAAGACUGAAACUUAAAGGAAUU
rnacentral:rRNA from 1 species